rnacentral:rRNA from 1 species
GAUGAACGCUGGCGGCGUGCCUAACACAUGCAAGUCGAGCGAUUUACUUCGGUAAAGAGCGGCGGACGGGUGAGUAACGCGUGGGUAACCUGCCCUGUACACACGGAUAACAUACCGAAAGGUAUGCUAAUACGAGAUAAUAUGCUUUUAUCGCAUGGUAGAAGUAUCAAAGCUUUUGCGGUACAGGAUGGACCCGCGUCUGAUUAGCUAGUUGGUAAGGUAACGGCUUACCAAGGCGACGAUCAGUAGCCGACCUGAGAGGGUGAUCGGCCACAUUGGAACUGAGACACGGUCCAAACUCCUACGGGAGGCAGCAGUGGGGAAUAUUGCACAAUGGGCGAAAGCCUGAUGCAGCAACGCCGCGUGAGCGAUGAAGGCCUUCGGGUCGUAAAGCUCUGUCCUCAAGGAAGAUAAUGACGGUACUUGAGGAGGAAGCCCGGCUAACUACGUGCCAGCAGCCGCGGUAAAUCACGUGUA